rnacentral:rRNA from 1 species
GGAUCCAGACUUUGAUCAUGGCUCAGGAUGAACGCUAGCUACAGGCCUAACACAUGCAAGUCGAGGGGAAACGGCAGCUUAGCUUGCUAAGCUGGACGUCGACCGGCGCACGGGUGAGUAACGCGUAUCCAACCUGCCCCACGGUGAGGGAUAACCCGCGGAAACGCGGCCUAAUACCUCAUGGUCUCCGAGUUUGCCAUCAACCUUGGAGUAAAGAUUCAUUGCCGUGGGAUGGGGAUGCGUCUGAUUAGCUUGUUGGCGGGGCAACGGCCCACCAAGGCAACGAUCAGUAGGGGUUCUGAGAGGAAAGCCCCCCACAUUGGAACUGAGACACGGUCCAAACUCCUACGGGAGGCAGCAGUGAGGAAUAUUGGUCAAUGGGCGAGAGCCUGAACCAGCCAAGUAGCGUGCAGGACGACGGCCCUAUGGGUUGUAAACUGCUUUUAUGCGGGGAUAAAGCGGGCGACGUGUCGCCCUUUGCAGGUACCGCAUGAAUAAGGACCGGCUAAUUCCGUGCCAGCAGCCGCGGUAAUACGGAAGGUCCGGGCGUUAUCCGGAUUUGUUGGGUUUAAAGGGAGCGCAGGCCGGGUAUUAAGCGUGUUGUGAAAUGUAGGCGCCCAACGUCUGCACCGCAGCGCGAACUGGUGCCCUUGAGUACGCACGACGUUGGCGGAAUUCGCCGUGUAGCGGUGAAAUGCUUAGAUAUGGCGAAGAACUCCGAUUGCGAAGGCAGCUGACGGGAGCGCUACUGACGCUCAUGCUCGAAAGCGCGGGUAUCGAACAGGAU